GACCGAGAGCAUGAAAAAGUUGAAUUUAUCAUUCCACGAAGUUCAUUUUGCUUAAUCCCAGUCAAUCGGUGAUCGAUUCUUAUCAGUUUAAUCACACGUGUUAAUUGUAAUGUAGUAUCGUGGAUACAUCGGGUGAACCAUAAACAAUAUUGCGAGAAGGCCUAAGUGCCGUUAGGCCAAAAGGGCCUAGUAGUUUUACCGUGUGGUCGUAACCUGGACAGUCGAGUGGAGUAGUCGUGAGUUGAGAGUCGAGUGGAGUAGUCGUGAGUUAAGAGAGUCGAGUUGUUAGGAGUCGAGAGUUGACUUGCCGAGUUGUUAUGAGUUGUAAACUAUUAAUUGCGAAUUGUGAAUUAAUUAUUUAGUUGCCUCAGUUAUAGCACAUUACUAUUUUAGUUCACGUUAAACCAACCUUUUCUUAUUUAGUCCAUUGUAAAUAGAUCUAUCGAUCAAUAAACUUAUUAUAUAGAAUA